rnacentral:rRNA from 1 species
UUAUUGGGCGUAAAGAGCUCGUAGGCGGUUUGUCGCGUCUGCCGUGAAAGUCCGGGGCUUAACUCCGGAUCUGCGGUGGGUACGGGCAGACUAGAGUGCAGUAGGGGAGACUGGAAUUCCUGGUGUAGCGGUGAAAUGCGCAGAUAUCAGGAGGAACACCGAUGGCGAAGGCAGGUCUCUGGGCUGUAACUGACGCUGAGGAGCGAAAGCAUGGGGAGCGAACAGGAUUAGAUACCCUGGUAGUCCAUGCCGUAAACGUUGGGCACUAGGUGUGGGGGACAUUCCACGUUUUCCGCGCCGUAGCUAACGCAUUAAGUGCCCCGCCUGGGGAGUACGGCCGCAAGGCUAAAACUCAAAGGAAUUGACGGGGGCCCGCACAAGCGGCGGAGCAUGCGGAUUAAUUCGAUGCAACGCGAAGAACCUUACCAAGGCUUGACAUGAACCGGAAUGAUGCAGAGAUGUGUCAGCCACUUGUGGCCGGUUUACAGGUGGUGCAUGGUUGUCGUCAGCUCGUGUCGUGAGAUGUUGGGUUAAGUCCCGCAACGAGCGCAACCCUCGUUCCAUGUUGCCAGCGGGUUAUGCCGGGGACUCAUGGGAGACUGCCGGGGUCAACUCGGAGGAAGGUGGGGACGACGUCAAAUCAUCAUGCCCCUUAUGUCUUGGGCUUCACGCAUGCUACAAUGGCCGGUACAAAGGGUUGCGAUACUGUGAGGUGGAGCUAAUCCCAAAAAGCCGGUCUCAGUUCGGAUUGAGGUCUGCAACUCGACCUCAUGAAGUUGGAGUCGCUAGUAAUCGCAGAUC